GUGGGGAAUAUUCCGCAAUGGACGAAAGUCUGACGGAGCAACGCCGCGUGAGUGAUGAAGGUUUUCGGACUGUAAAGCUCUGUUGUUUAGGACGAAAGUGCCUGUUGCGAACAGUUACAGGUAUUGACGGUACUAAACGAGGAAGCCACGGCUAACUACGUGCCAGCAGCCGCGGUAAUACGUAGGUGGCAAGCGUUGUCCGGAAUUAUUGGGCGUAAAGAGCAUGUAGGCGGAGAUUUAAGGCUGUUGUGAAAAUGCGGGGCUCAACCCCGUAUUGCGAUGGAAACUGAAUUUCUUGAGUGCAGGGGAGGAAAGGGGAAUUCCCAGUGUAGCGGUGAAAUGCGUAGAUAUUGGGAGGAACACCAGUGGCGAAGGCGCCUUUCUGGACUGUGUCUGACGCUGAGAUGCGAAAGCCAGGGUAGCGAACGGGAUUAGAAACCCUUGUAGUCC
rnacentral:rRNA from 1 species